rnacentral:misc_RNA from 1 species
GAUGAAGAACGCAGCGAAAUGCGAUAAGUAAUGUGAAUUGCAGAAUUCAGUGAAUCAUCGAAUCUUUGAACGCACAUUGCGCCCGCUGGUAUUCCGGCGUGCAUGCCUGUUCGAGCGUCAUUUCAACCCUCAAGCUCUCCGGAGUUUGGUGUUGGGGCGCCUGGGGCUUUUCGACCUCAGGGCCCUCAAGUCCAUCGGCGGGACCGCCAGGACACUGAGCGCAGUAGUAUUAUUUCGCUCGGUAGGAUCUUCCACGGCGGGUCGAUCUGGCCGCUAAACCCCCCAAUUCUCACCAAAGGUUGACCUCGGAUCAGGUAGGAAUACCCGCUGAACUUAAGCAUAUCAAUAAGCGGAGGA